GAUAAACGCUGGCGGCGCACAUAAGACAUGCAAGUCGAACGGACUUAACUCAUUCUUUUAGAUUGAGAGCGGUUAGUGGCGGACUGGUGAGUAACACGUAAGCAACCUGCCUAUUAGAGGGGAAUAACAGUGAGAAAUCAUUGCUAAUACCGCAUAUGCUAACAGUAUCGCAUGAUACAGUUAGGAAAGGAGCAAUCCGCUAAUAGAUGGGCUUGCGUCUGAUUAGCUAGUUGGUGGGGUAACGGCCUACCAAGGCGACGAUCAGUAGCCGACCUGAGAGGGUGACCGGCCACAUUGGGACUGAGACACGGCCCAA
rnacentral:rRNA from 1 species